rnacentral:rRNA from 6 species
UCACCUAGAGAUGGGUCCGCGGUGCAUUAGUUAGUUGGUGGGGUAAAGGCCUACCAAGACAAUGAUGCAUAGCCGAGUUGAGAGACUGAUCGGCCACAUUGGGACUGAGACACGGCCCAAACUCCUACGGGAGGCUGCAGUAGGGAAUCUUCCACAAUGGGCGAAAGCCUGAUGGAGCAACGCCGCGUGUGUGAUGAAGGCUUUAGGGUCGUAAAGCACUGUUGUAUGGGAAGAAAUGCUAGAAUAGGGAAUGAUUCUAGUUCGACGGUACCAUACCAGAAAGGGACGGCUAAAUACGUGCCAGCAGCCGCGGUAAUACGUAUGUCCCGAGCGUUAUCCGGAUUUAUUGGGCGUAAAGCGAGCGCAGACGGUUGAUUAAGUCUGAUGUGAAAGCCCGGAGCUCAACUCCGGAAUGGCAUUGGAAACUGGUUAACUUGAGUGUUGUAGAGGUAAGUGGAACUCCAUGUGUAGCGGUGGAAUGCGUAGAUAU